GUUCAUUCUUUGUUGUGUUUGUAUAUGACAACUAUCUUUUUUUUUAUUAUUUCACUGAUUUCCCUUUUCUCCCGUAGCUUAGAACAAUCUGGGAAAAAUGUGUAACGACAGGUGCGCAUAUUACGUUAUACUAGUAUAUUGCAUUGGUUCCAUCUUUAUUUGCUUUUAUAUGUAUGAAGUUCUAUUAGGGAUAUUGAGAGGGGAGAUUCCAUUCCACGAUCUGUAGGAAAGGCGCUUCAUGCCGUAAGAUUUUAAAAAUGUUGAAAUCAUUAGCUUCUUGAUGUCAAUCAAAAUGUUGAUCUUUCAAUAAAUCUUACAGCAAUGUAAAAACCCAACCCAAAAGCUAAAAAUUGUCUUUUAUUUCAUCCUUUGAGAAUUGAAAAUUACAAAACAACGUAUUUGCACGUUCAUUUCUUCUUUACAGAUAAAACUAAUAGAGAUGUUGAAUCUCUACCAAGAUUUGUCCCUUUUACUCUACAACUUUCAACAUCUACACACGAACAUCUUCGUUGUAAGAAGUAACUUCAUAAGAAGCAA